CAAAAUUCAAAGAGUAGAAAGGCAAUACGUGUUUCUAAGAACUCUCUCUCACCCCUAUUUCUCCUCGCUGAAAACACUUCAACCAGAUUUCUCUAAUUUCUGUUUGACUCCUCGAUCUCAUUAGUUUCAUGGGGCUCGGUUGUUAUUAUUUUCACAUACAAUCCUUCUCGGAAGAUAAUCUAGAUAAACAUUGUUCGUUUCGAAUCUUAGUUUUUCAAUUUCUUAUAUGACAUCUACGGUUUUUGAUUAGUUGUUAUUUUGAAUUAUCGAGUUCCUCUUGGGUAAUAUUUUUGAUUUCUAGGGCAUUGGAUUUAGCCGUUUAGGAAAAAUUAGUGUUUUCUUCAAAUGUGGGGUUUUCUGGGUUUAGCAAAUUCUAGGGUUUUUUACUCUUCCGUAUCGGUCAACAACUGUUACUGGAGGUGAUGUCACCCCUCCACCAUCUGCAACUGUAACUGCAACAUCAACCCCACUUCCGUUUAAUUCCCGCCGAAGUAACUCAGUUCAUAUUUUUUUAAUACAGAAGGAAAUGGCAAUUCAAUGAUGCAAGGAGUUUCAAUCGAGGUAUCAGAAGCCUUUAUCAGAAGAAACAGAAGUUCCAGGACAAUUUUUAUAUGGUCGACAAAUGCAUGAAUAAGUUGCCGGUCCCUUUCAAGCAUUUAACAACCAAUGUUUAGUUCUCAAUGGAUAACUUCUCGAGCACGGGGAGUGUUUUGGAUUCAGAGAGUAGCAAAAAUAGCGGCCAUUCUCUGUACGACACACUAAGUUGAAUGAGCAUUCAAUCAAAUGGCUGGGGUUUUGAAUACGCUCUUAGUCGCGAGUGAAUUGACUGAGCUUGGCACACUUGCAGAGAUCGGCUGUGUACGCUGAUAAAGCGUCUUGAACACCUUUAAAUGGACAAGAAUCUGCAGUUGGUGUGCUAUCAUUGAGGGUAACAUGGGAAGUGAGUAUCAGGGAAAAGAAAAGUUUCUCAAAGUUGUUGAUGCUUCAUCUCCUGAUACGUGGGGUCAGAUGUAAUUGUAAGUACCCAUAUCUUCUCACUAUGUUAUUGAUUGAUUUCUGUUCCAGAAGUUACAUCACUAUGCUCCAAAGUGCUCAUCAAUGGAGCACUUUGGCUUUAACUUUCUCUUUGUACUCCCGUUUGCUUCAUAUUUGGACCUAGCUAUACGUUGGGGUGGAGGGAUCGGGUCUAUUGGGAAGUGCAGGUUGGUCUCUGCUUAAUCUUCAUAAUUGUUGCAGUUGCGGAGGGGUUCCUUGAGGGUGAUCAUGAAUAUACUGAUGUGGUCAUUCACUGCAAAUUCUGCAAUACUGGAGUAUCUGAACGCUCCAUCAUUGAUAUUGACUUCCGCAACCACUUCGAAAUAGCUCCAGCAGUUAAGUUUUAUGACAGAUGCAUUAGGGAAGUUUUUCUGGGGGUAUUUUUUACAUUGCACAGGACUGUUGGCUACCUUUCUUAGAUUUGACCACCGCAGUCAGAACUUCAGGUGAAUUUGUUUUUCUUUUUACUGGGAGGGGUACAUUGUGCAUUAAGGUGUGCGUUCAAUGGUCGAAUAUGUGUAGCAUAAUGUGUGGGGGCAUAUGCCUAUGAACAUAGGUUUAGCAUGUAUUAGUGUUUCUGUUCCUAAUGUGACCAUCUUCACAAGACUGCACAUAUUUUUUGAUUCUGUAUCGCAGCUUCUUCCCUGCUCAUUUGCAGUACUUCCAUGUAAACUAUUGAGCCUACCUGACAACAAAAGUGAUUAAAGACAAGUCUCACUUUGUUGAAGCCUAAGUUUUUUUAUCUGUAAGCUUAGCUCAGUAAACUCUGGAAGUCUUAACACAUAUUGUGCAAUUGUUGAGCUCCCAUUUUGUUUCCCACUUAAUUGGUGAUGCUCAAAAGUAAGUUUGAGCCCACAACAGAGAAAUAUUAUUAGUACACCUUAAGGGAUUUUUUGGGUGCUCAAAAAUAUACAUGGUUUAGGUAGUUCAUUGAUAAGGAUGUCUAUUGUGAAUGGUGAUCAUGCUACAAUUAUUUUCAAAAAAGUAAAUGGAACUAUUAACAACACAUCUAUGUGUAUUUGCAACUCCUCUAUUUGCUGUCUUAGCUCAAAUGGCAGAGCUCAUGGUUUUCACCGAUGUGGUUGUGGGUUCGACUCCGGCAGAUGGCAUAGUUAUCCAGUAAGCCAAAACCUUUUAUGCUUUAGAUCCCAACACAUAAUGCGAAAUUCAGUAAGCCAAU